rnacentral:misc_RNA from 1 species
GAUGAAGAACGCAGCGAAAUGCGAUAAGUAAUGCGAAUUGCAGAAUUCAGUGAGUCAUCGAAUCUUUGAACGCACAUUGCGCCCGCUAGUAUUCUGGCGGGCAUGCCUGUCCGAGCGUCAUUUCAACCCUCAAGCCCCCGGGCUUGGUGUUGGGGAUCGGCGAGCCUCCGCGCCCGCCGUCCCCUAAAUCUAGUGGCGGUCUCGCUGUAGCUUCCUCUGCGUAGUAGCACACCUCGCACUGGGAAACAGCGCGGCCACGCCGUUAAACCCCCAACUUCUGAACGUUUGACCUCGGAUCAGGUAGGAAUACCCGCUGAACUUAAGCAUAUCAAUAAGCGGAGGA